rnacentral:tRNA from 1 species
UACCCGGUGGUGUAAUUGGCAACACUAGGGAUUUUGGUUCCCUCAUUCCAGGUUCGAGUCCUGGCCGGGUAG